rfam:Callithrix jacchus chromosome 17, whole genome shotgun sequence
AUAUAGGCUCUACUCAGAACCAACAAUAUUAAGUACUAAAUAUUGU